AGAGUUUGAUCAUGGCUCAGGAUGAACGCUAGCGGCAUGCUUAACACAUGCAAGUCGAGGGGUAUAGUUCUUCGGAACUAGAGACCGGCGCACGGGUGCGUAACGCGUAUGCAAUCUACCUUUCACAAAGGGAUAGCCCAGAGAAAUUUGGAUUAAUACCUUAUAGUAUAGCGAGUUCGCAUGGAUUUGCUAUUAAAGAUUUAUCGGUGAAAGAUGAGCAUGCGUCCCAUUAGCUAGUUGGUAAGGUAACGGCUUACCAAGGCUACCAUGGGUAGGGGUCCUGAGAGGAAGAUNNNNNNNGCUGGUACUGAAACACGGACCAUACUCCUACAGGAGGCAGCGGUGAAGAAUAUUGGUCAAUGGGCGCAAUCCUGAACCCGCCCUGCCGCGUGCAGGAUGACCGUCCUAUGGAUUGUAAACUGCUUUUGUACAGGAAGAAACACCCCGACGUGUCGGGACUUGACGGUACUGUAAGAAUAAGGAUCGGCUAACUCCGUGCCACCAGCCGCGGUAAUACAGAGGAUCCGAGCGUUAUCCGGAAUCUUUGUGUUUAAAGGGUCCGUACGCGGCUUAAUAAGUCAGUGAUGAAAUCCCUACGCUUAUCGUAUGAACGGCCAUUGAUACUGUGAGGCUUGAAUUAUUAGGAAAUAACGAUAAUAUGUAGUGUAGCGGUGAAAUGCUUAUAGAUUACCUGAAGUACCCAUUGCGAAAGCGGGUUACUACUAAUGUAUUGACACUCACGUGCNAAAGCGUGUGUAGCGAGCACGAUUAGAUACCCUGGUAGUCCACGCCGCUACGAUGGAUACUAGCUGUUGGAGCAUUUCAGUGGCUANCGAAAGUGAUAAGUAUCCCACCUCGGAGUACGUUC
rnacentral:rRNA from 1 species